rnacentral:rRNA from 1 species
GAUGAACGCUGGCGGCGUGCCUAAUACAUGCAAGUCGAGCGAACAGACGAGGAGCUUGCUCCUCUGACGUUAGCGGCGGACGGGUGAGUAACACGUGGAUAACCUACCUAUAAGACUGGGAUAACUUCGGGAAACCGGAGCUAAUACCGGAUAAUAUAUUGAACCGCAUGGUUCAAUAGUGAAAGACGGUUUUGCUGUCACUUAUAGAUGGAUCCGCGCCGCAUUAGCUAGUUGGUAAGGUAACGGCUUACCAAGGCAACGAUGCGUAGCCGACCUGAGAGGGUGAUCGGCCACCCUGGAACGGAGACACGGUCCAGACUCCUACGGGAGGCAGCAGUAGGGAAUCUUCCGCAAUGGGCGAAAGCCUGACGGAGCAACGCCGCGUGAGUGAUGAAGGUCUUCGGAUCGUAAAACUCUGUUAUUAGGGAAGAACAAAUGUGUAAGUAACUAUGCACGUCUUGACGGUACCUAAUCAGAAAGCCACGGCUAACUACGUG